rnacentral:rRNA from 1 species
GGCCUCGGAUCAGGUAGGAAUACCCGCUGAACUUAAGCAUAUCAAUAAGCGGAGGAAAAGAAACCAACAGGGAUUACCUCAGUAACGGCGAGUGAAGCGGUAAUAGCUCAAAUUUGAAAUCUGGCUCUUUCAGGGUCCGAGUUGUAAUUUGUAGAGGAUGUUUCGGGCACGGUUACGGUUUAAAUUUCUUGGGACAGAAUGUCAAAGAGGGUGAGAGUCCCGUCUUGAACCGAUUACUUCGUCCAUGUGAAACUCCUUCGACGAGUCGAGUUGUUUGGGAAUGCAGCUCAAAAUGGGUGGUAAAUUUCAUCUAAAGCUAAAUAUUGGCCAGAGACCGAUAGCGCACAAGUAGAGUGAUCGAAAGAUGAAAAGCACUUUGAAAAGAGAGUUAAACAGUAUGUGAAAUUGUUGAAAGGGAAGCGCUUGUAAUCAG